AACUGUAUUAUGUGGGUUUGAACCUCACUGCCCUCUGGGAUAAAAAUAGGAGAGGACCAGGUGUCAGCUGGUCCCAAACUGAUGUAAGGAUGGCGGCCAUGGGAUCUCAAAGAUGUCCUUGAGCUAUAAAUUCUAUAAUAGGGUCACGGGACACAGAGGCCCUCAGGCAUUUAUUUGGCUUGUGUGAUAAAUUCCAGCCCUUGAAAUUUUUCCAGCCACUCUUGAAUACUCUGCCUGGCCCCGCCCCCACUCCUCAGUAUUUCUCCCGCCAUAAUACUCAACUCUGAAUGCUGUUGCUUUGUCACAAAACUCUUGGACCGUAAACUUCCCAAGGGAGGAGAUAACGUCAGCACAAGCUUCAUUGUCAAGUACACACCAGGCAAGUGGGCAUACUACGUGAAUUGUUUGCCAUAUGGACGAGUGAAUGAAGACUUCCCAGGCUCCAGAGAACAUUCCACUCCUCUGCCUCUGGGAUCAUCCAUCCCUGGCCAACAUAAGGCUCAGCAUACAGGUCAGAGCCAACUUGGGAAGUUUUAGCCUCAGUCUGGUGGGACAGAUGGAGCCAGAAGCGCAGUCGUUGGCAAUGAAGGAACCUUUGAAGAGGAUGGAAUCGAAGCUCGUCAUCUCCAGAGGAGUACAGAUGGAGCCUGCAUCUGAGAGGGGGAUCUUGGAUGCCCAGGUGCCUAGCCCUCUGCACUAGUGGGACUGACUCACCGAUGACUUGGAACCCCCUACCAGCUCAAUGGGAGCAAGAAGGAGCCAUUGCUGUCUACAGCUCACAACGGCACUAGGGCAGAAGAGGCAAACUGGAGGAUUACUGUAAGAAUAUGUGUUUCCAACAGCUGGUGAGAACUCCAGAUUGCUUCUCUUUCUGCUAUGUUCUUCUGGCUUCUUUGGACGUGGUAUCACUAGGCAGUCUAGGCUGACCUGGAACUUGCUAUCUACCCCAGGUCUCAGUCCUGGGUAGGCCAGCCUUCCUUAAUACAGAUUUAAAGAAAAAACUGCUUCCCUCCAGGUUCUGUGCCUUAGGCUUGCCAUCAAAAUAAAGAGCAUUUACAUG